rnacentral:rRNA from 1 species
GACGAACGCUGGCGGCGUGCUUAACACAUGCAAGUCGAACGGAAAGGCCCUGCUUGCAGGGUACUCGAGUGGCGAACGGGUGAGUAACACGUGGGUGAUCUGCCUGCCACUUCGGGUUAAGCAUGAGAAACUGGGUCUAAUACCGGAUAGGUGACAUUUUCAGUGUGAUGGUUGGAAAGUUUUUUAGGUGGAGGAUGAGCCCUCGGCCUAUCAGCUUGUUGGUGGGGGUAUGGCCUACCAAGGCGGCGAAGGGUAGCUGGCCUGCGGGGGUGGGCGGCCACAAUGGGGGUGAGGAGAGGCGCCGCUUCCUACGGGGGGCAGCAGUGGGGAAGAAUGCUGGAUGGGCGGAAGCCCGCUGAAGCGACGACGCGUGGUGGAUGACGGCCUUCGGGUUGUAGAAUACUUUCGCUAGGAACGAAGCAUAUUGUGACGGUACCUAGAGAAGAAGCACCGGCUAACUACGUG